CUGUCUUCAGUUGCAACACUCACUACCAAGUUCCAAACUCCCUUUGGAUUUUAAAAGUAUUUUUUUAUUUAGUUAAGUUACUGUUUUACAUUUUACAUUCUUUAUUUAUGUUAUCUAUUUAUUUAUUUUACCCCCGGAAGUUAUCGUCCAACUCGUUUUUUCCCGGAUUAAUCCAACAUGGCUGCGUCCUUGUGAUUUACGAUACAUAUACAGUCAAGCUCCAAAACAAAUGAAAACAUGCACAUAAAAUAAGUAAUAAAGUGGAAUGUACGGGUGUCUAUGCUGUAUGCUUUCGGAAUAUGGACAAUGCUCGGCACAUACGGAUAUUAUCAGUACAUGGGGCGCAAUGAAGAAAAGUCCGUCAAAGAGAAGGAGGAACAACCUCCAAAUCCUAGAGAAUUGACUAUCCAGAGUGCACACAUGAAAUCCACCAUCGUCUACAAGGAAAACUGUUCCUUAUUCUACAAGGGUCUACAAUUUUGUCAGCUCGCUCAGUCGGGACUCUGCAUCGGCUGACAGCCAAGACAAUACAAAGUAAUGGUGAAAAAGUGAAAGCUGUAAUGAACUGAUGCCAUUGCCUGCCUAGGCUACCACAUUUGUGAUGUGUGUAGCAAAAAUACUUAGGAAUUAACACUGUAAAUUGUAUAUUGAAUAUAUCUCUGUGUAAAAUACACUGGCUGAAAUUAUUUGUACAAUGAAUUGAAAUACCACAGUAUCUCUCUGUUCGAGAACUCCCCUGCUAACCUAGAAACAUUCUCUACCUACACUGUACACGGUCUCAAUGCAAAGUGUAGACAACAUCUGUCUGUUGAACUUCUAGAUAUGGCAGUGAUAACCUGUCCUGUGCAUUGCUGCUGUAUUACAUUCAGUCCAAUCAGAUUUUUGCAAACAUCUGAAGUAGGAGCAUAACUUUUAUACAACUAGCAGAGUGUCUGACAGCUUGCCUAUACAUGAAUUUCAGCACUUCAAGAUAAAUCAAUAAAACUUCUGUCAAAUAAACUUAAUUUGUAAAUGAAGUGCAACUGCUAAUGAAAUGUUUGCUGUCGUCUGUGUUGAUCACGGUAAUGUAAUAUCCAUUUAUCUGAGGACACACUACACAUUAGCCUGUUAUGACCUGUGGAUUGUGUCUGGAUGAUAAAAUUGGGGGAGUACCAGUACCACUCACCACUUUUUAAUUGGAGGCAACUGUUAGCAGUAAAAUAUUUGACAGUUGAAAAUGUUAUGAUGUGAAGAGGGAAUUCAACAACUCUUGGAGGGUAGUGAAAGUAGAUUUUUUUUAAACAAUCUCUAAUUGAAAGAAAAUGACUGGAUAAAACAUACAACUGGA